rnacentral:piRNA from 1 species
GUCUAGUAAACAGGAGAUCCUGGGU